rnacentral:lncRNA from 1 species
AAACAUUAGAGCUGGAACAGAUGGCCUCACUAUGCUAUGAGGUGUGCUAAAAGAGAGCCUAAACAAUAUAACUUCUACUGGUGUGCCACACUGCUUGGAAUGCCGCCAUCACAGCCAUCCCUUUGGGCAAAAGAAACUAUCAACAAAAUGAAAAGGCAACCUGUGGAAUGGGAGAAAAUAUUUGCAAACCACACAUCUUAUAAGGGGUGAAUAUCCAAAAUAUAUAAGGAACGCAUAUAGCUCAGUAGCAAAAAACCAAACAAUCCUAUUAAAAAAUGGGCAAAGGACAUGAAUAGACAUUUUUCCAAAGAAGACAUUCAAAUGGCCAACAAGCACAUGAAAAGAUGCUCAACAUCACUGAUCAUCAGGGAAAUGCAAAUCAAAACUACACUGAGAUAUCAACUCACACCUUGGGAAUGACUAUCAUGAAGUAGACAAGAAGGAAAAAGAAGGAAAUCCUGCCAUUUGUGACAACAUGGAUGGACCUUGAGGGCAUUAUUCUAAAUUAAAUAAGUCAGGCAAAGACAAAUAUUGUAUGAUCUCACUUACAUGUGGAAUCCAAAAAAAACACACUCACAGAAACAGAGAACAGAUCGGUGGUUGCGAGAGGCGGGGGAUGAGAAUGAGGAAAUUGAGUGAGGGUGGUGUUCUACCACAAGCCCAGCUGGGCUAGGGCAGCAGGAUAUCGUGCUGAGAGACUGAAGAAAUGACCCGGAGACUGUAAACGAGACAUAGAGGUUAUUGGGACUGACUUACAAGGAGAAUGUCCAGUGGCAACCGGCUGGAUAGAAGUAUGCACCCGCAACCGCCCCCUAAGAGAAGCUUGGUUAAGUAGGCAGAGGAACAAAGGCUGCAUGCUUGCCAAAGGGCUGUCCUUGGUACGACCAGUGUUCCCAGGAAUGGUAGCUCACAUGGAGGGGCCUUGUGUCCCUGUAAGACGUGAUGUUCUUCAUGUGAGAUAAGGGAGGAUCCAGGCUGGCCAGGCCCAGAUCGUUACAAAUCCCAGUAGCUGGGCUGCCUGCCCAGAAGGGAGCCAGAGGGCACAUGGUUGCAAUGGGCCUGGGGGUUUCUGCUGAGCAAGCAAGACCCAGGCCCUACAGGGUCGGCAGAAGUUACAAACUUCCAGUUAUAAGAUGGGUAAGUCCUGGGCGUGUAAUGUACAUCAUAAUGACUAUAGUUAACAAUAUUGUAUUGUAUAUUUGACAGUUACUAAGAGAACUUAGAAGUUAUAAGAAAAGGUAAUUUGUAAUAUGGUAAUCAUUUUGCAAUAUAUACAUUUAUCAAAUCAUUAUGUUGUGUAUCUUAAAUGUAUACAAUGGCAUAUGUCAAUUAUAUUUCAAUAAAACUGGAAAAAAU